UGGGGAAUAUUGGACAAUGGGGGAAACCCUGAUCCAGCAAUGCCGCGUGAGUGAAGAAGGCCUUAGGGUUGUAAAGCUCUUUCGCCCGCGAAGAUAAUGACGGUAGCGGGAGAAGAAGCCCCGGCUAACUCCGUGCCAGCAGCCGCGGUAAUACGGAGGGGGCUAGCGUUGUUCGGAAUUACUGGGCGUAAAGCGUACGUAGGCGGAUGCGCAAGUUGGGGGUGAAAUCCCGGGGCUUUACCUCGGAAUUGCCCUCAAAACUGCACGUCUUGAGACCGAGAGAGGUAAGGGGAAUUCCUAGUGUAGAGGUGAAAUUCGUAGAUAUUAGGAAGAACACCAGUGGCGAAGGCGCCUUACUGGCUCGGUACUGACGCUGAGGUACGAAAGCGUGGGGAGCAAACA
rnacentral:rRNA from 1 species